UGUCUCAGGGUUUACUUUCGUUCCUUGAUCUUUCAAACCUGCCGGAAUCUAUACCGAAACUACCUCAAGUAUAGUUUCGGUUUCUUUGCAUGGGCAGCGCUUUGAAGUAAAACCGGUAAAACCGUUAAACCGGCCGGCCAAGACAAUCCAUCUUUUCAAAGGCGUCGCAGACUCGCAGUUUCAUCUGGACGUGUCGUUUGGACGUGUUGACGGAUUUAAAGCCGCAAGUGGCAGCCGGAGGAACUACGGCUAGAAGAUUACGUGACUUCGCUCGGCUCUAAGCUGCAGCCUAACGCCCGCUAUUGUCAGCAGAGAGAGGGAGAGGAAGUGUCCUCCGAGACAGCACACGGGAACCCACACGGCACUCCGAAGGACGUCACUAGGAGGGGGACCCGGUGUGACCCUGAAGACUGGAAGUGCCACCCUGACCAGGCUGAAGCUGACAUGAUUAGCAAGCAUCGUAGCGUGAGUUGAGUGAAAUGACAGCAUAUAUUGACUACUGUGUGGAUGUCCGUGCUUCGUGGCAGUCAUACGAUAACAGUUGUCUUGACGUCACUUGUGUUGAUGGAAGGUUGCCCUAUUAUGUCAUUACGAACUAUUAUUUAUUUUUAUUCAUUUGGGGAGCUCGUGGGCCAUUACAGGGAGUAACUUUGUACAGCAUCCUUGUCUAAGGGCUAUACCAUAUUAAUUUGCUGUUGUGUUUCCUGUUGGAGGAUAAUGACUUAUUUGCAUUGCAUUCCAAAUCUCACUUUUUAAUUACUUCAAUAAUACUUAGUAGCUGGCAUUUGAUGUCAGCUUCUGCCACAUCAACCCAUGACCUUUGAUUGUGUGCCAAACACACCACUAAAUAAAAAUGGCUUCAUUAUUACGUUUCGUUCCUCCAUUGCAUAGGAUAUGGGAAUCCCAGCAAUUACAUUCUCCAACUGUAUUUUGUAAUACUCACAAUUUCAAAUUAUGUUAACAAUUUUAUAAACCUCCGAGUCACUCGUUAACUGAUCAAUUAUUUAAAUAAAUGUCAACUGUUAACCGGUUGCAAGUUUGUAAUUAAUGCACAGCCCCACACUGCAUUACUGUUUGUGUAUAAUAUAAGGAAAUGUUGAGUAAACAUACAGGUUAUUUAAAUAACUUUUAUGUCUGACCCAUUAUAUUCAGUGUUUUCUAGAUAAGUUUGAAGUUAUAUAAGAGAGUGCUCAUCUUAAAAUUAAGCCAUACCACUGGAUGUACACUAGUGUGUGACCUAUACAUAUGUUCCCAGCGAAAUGAAAGAAGUCAUUUAAGAAGGACUAACCACUUGCUUUGCUGUUUGUCUUGUCUUCUUUUAGGUGCAUGGGUGUUUACGUCUAAAAGUGUUAAAGUGAAAUUUGCUGCAGGACUGGUUUUCCUGACUCAGCUGGCUUGUCUGGCAGCUUGCAACCUAUGGGAACCUGAGGAACUGCAUCACAAGAGUGAAAGGGACGCCCACCUAGCACUUCUUCGAGGAUGGUGCCUUGAAGAAGGGAGGACUGCGCCUAAAGUGAAUGCCAUGGCAGGCAAUGUGCUGAGGCUUGGGCCAUGUGGAACUGGAGGCAGCCAAGUCAUCAAAGAAGAUAGGACUUCGGCUCAUUCAGAAACCAUGUGAACUACGGCACAAGAGGCCCAGGGCACCGGAACAGCUGGCUGAAUAAACAGCUAAGCCUUUCAAACAUUGAAGUGUGUGCUAUCCCAAGGGGAGUAGUUUGAAGGGGAUUAGAGUUUUAGACCUCAAGGCAAAUAAAUGUAUUUUUUCCUUCCAAA